rnacentral:lncRNA from 1 species
AUUUUUGCUUUCUUUGCAAAGUGCAAGCUAGCAAAAUGCCAAACUAGCAAGAGAUAAUGUUUUACAUGAGGCAAGCAAACAAUUUGGCAAGUGUUACAUUUGCAUCUUCUCUUUUGAGAAGUGCAAUUUUUGCUUUCAUCUUGAAUUGUGCAAGCUAGCUAGUUUGCCUCUUUUCAUGAUGUCCACGCUAGAAAUUCUUGCUCCCC